GAUGAACGCUGGCGGCGUGCCUAAUACAUGCAAGUCGAGCGAACGGACGAGAAGCUUGCUUCUCUGAUGUUAGCGGCGGACGGGUGAGUAACACGUGGAUAACCUACCUAUAAGACUGGGAUAACUUCGGGAAACCGUAGCUAAUACCGGAUAAUAUUUUGAACCGCAUGGUUCAAAAGUGAAAGACGGUCUUGCUGUCACUUAUAGAUGGAUCCGCGCUGCAUUAGCUAGUUGGUAAGGUAACGGCUUACCAAGGCAACGAUGCAUAGCCGACCUGAGAGGGUGGUCGGCCACACUGGAACUGAGACGCGGACCAGACUCCUACGGGAGGCAGCAGUAGGGAAUCUUCCGCAAUGGGCGAAAGCCUGACGGAGCAACGCCGCGUGAGUGAUGACGGUCUUCGGAUCGUAAAACUCUGUUAUUAGGGAAGAACAUAUGUGUAAGUAACUGUGCACAUCUUGACGGUACCUAAUCAGAAAGCCACGGCUAACUACGUG
rnacentral:rRNA from 1 species